rnacentral:tmRNA from 1 species
GGGGCUGUAUUGGUUUUGACAGCGUAAGUAGUGGUAGGUGUAAGCAUGCAGCGCGUUGUGUAAUUAGCGCUUUAAUCUGAAUACUCAAAUCUCAAAUGGCAACACACAGUUUGCUAUGGCUGCCUAAUUAGUUAAUUAGACAUCCGUUUGGGCCGCGUUGAGCAGGUUGUUCUGUUACCAAGCUCCGCCGCCGACUCAACUCAAAACACAGAAUGCUGCAAUGACAGGCUGUGCUCAUUGCAAAAGACUAUUCAGCUACGUAGAAAAUUGGUUGGUUUGUUUCCUGUUUUUUGCCGACAAAUAAUAAUAAACUAAGCAUGUAGAAAGCUUAUGACAGCUACGUUUGGACAGGAGUUCGACUCUCCUCAGCUCCACUG